rnacentral:rRNA from 1 species
CGNNCGGCAGCACGGAGCUUGCUCUGGUGGCGAGUGGCGAACGGGUGAGUAAUGCGUCGGAACGUAUCCAAUAAUGGGGGAUAACGCAGCGAAAGCUGUGCUAAUACCGCAUACGCCCUCCGGGGGAAAGCAGGGGAUCGUAAGACCUUGCGUUAAUGGAGCGGCCGACGUCUGAUUAGCUAGUUGGUAGGGUAAAGGCCUACCAAGGCGACGAUCAGUAGCUGGUCUGAGAGGAUGAUCAGCCACACUGGGACUGAGACACGGCCCAGACUCCUACGGGAGGCAGCAGUGGGGAAUUUUGGACAAUGGGCGCAAGCCUGAUCCAGCCAUUCCGCGUGAGUGAAGAAGGCCUUCGGGUUGUAAAGCUCUUUCAGGAGGGAAGAAACGAUUGUGGCUAAUACCCAUGAUUAAUGACGGUACCUUCAGAAGAAGCACCGGCUAACUACGUGCCAGCAGCCGCGGUAAUACGUAGGGUGCGAGCGUUAAUCGGAAUUACUGGGCGUAAAGCGUGCGCAGGCGGUUUUUCAAGUCUGAUGUGAAAUCCCCGGGCUUAACCUGGGAACUGCGUUGGAAACUGAAAGACUAGAGUGCGGCAGAGGGGGGUAGAAUUCCACGUGUAGCAGUGAAAUGCGUAGAUAUGUGGAGGAAUACCGAUGGCGAAGGCAGCCCCCUGGGUCGACACUGACGCUCAUGCACGAAAGCGUGGGUAGCAAACAGGAUUAGAUACCCUGGUAGUCCACGCCCUAAACGAUGUCAACUAGUUGUUGGGGAGGGAGANCUCCUUAGUAACGCAGCUAACGCGUGAAGUUGACCGCCUGGGGAGUACGGUCGCAAGAUUAAAACUCAAAGGAAUUGACGGGGGCCCGCACAAGCGGNGGGANUAUGUGGAUUAANUUCGAUGCAACGCGAAAAACCUUACCUACCCUUGANA